rnacentral:rRNA from 1 species
CGCUGGCGGCGUGCUUCAUACAUGCAAGUCGAACGAGAAGCUGACUUCGGUCAGUGGAAAGUGGCGGACGGGUGAGUAAUAUGUAGAGAAUCUGCCCUUGAGAGGGGGACAACAGUUGGAAACGACUGCUAAUACCCCAUAUGAGCGUAGCUGAAAUGCUAUUCUUGAAAACUCCGGUGCUCAAGGAUGAGUCUGCAUCUGAUUAGCUAGUUGGUGGUGUAAUGGACUACCAAGGCGACGAUCAGUAGCUGGUUUGAGAGGAUGAUCAGCCACAAUGGGACUGAGACACGGCCCAUACUCCUACGGGAGGCAGCAGUAGGGAAUUUUGCGCAAUGGGGGAAACCCUGACGCAGCAACGCCGCGUGAACGAGACGCCCUUCGGGGUGUAAAGUUUUGUCAGUGGGGACGAACAAAUGACGGUACCCACAGAGGAAGCACCGGCUAACUCCGUGCCAGCAGCAGC